CAGUAGCCACGGGAAUACGGAGGAUCCAAGCGUUAUCCGGAAUCAUUGGGUUUAAAGGGUCCGUAGGCGGUCUUGUAAGUCAGUGGUGAAAGCCCACCGCUCAACGGUGGAACGGCCAUUGAUACUGCAGGACUUGAAUUAUUGGGAAGUAACUAGAAUAUGUAGUGUAGCGGUGAAAUGCUUAGAGAUUACAUGGAAUACCAAUUGCGAAGGCAGGUUACUACCAAUUGAUUGACGCUGAUGGACGAAAGCGUGGGUAGCGAACAGGAUUAGAUACCCGAGUAGUCCCUGUCUCUUAUAC
rnacentral:rRNA from 1 species